AUUGAACGCUGGCGGCAGGCUUAACACAUGCAAGUCGAACGAGUGGCGGACGGGUGAGUAAUGCUUGGGAAUCUUGCUUAUGGAGGGGGAUAACUACGGGAAACUGUAGCUAAUACCGCGUCCCAUAGGUUGCGCCCAAGGGGGAUUAGGUAGUUGGUGGGGUAAUGGCUCACCUAGGCGACGAUCCCUAGCUGGGCUGAGAGGAUGACCAGCCACACUGGAACUGCGACACGGUCCAGAGUCCUACGGGAGGCAGCAGUGGGGAAUAUUGCACAAUGGGCGCAAGCCUGAUGCAGCAAUGCCGCGUGUGUGAAGAAGGCCUUCGGGUUGUAAAGCACUUUCAGCGAGGAGGCGGUACUCGCAGAAGAAGCACCGGCUAACUCCGUGCCAGCCGCCGCGGUAAUAC
rnacentral:rRNA from 1 species